UUUGUUUGGUGGCGAUAGCGAAGAGGUCACACCCGUUCCCAUACCGAACACGGAAGUUAAGCUCUUCAGCGCCGAUGGUAGUCGGGGGUUUCCCCCUGUGAGAGUAGGACGCCGCCAAGCAAU
rnacentral:rRNA from 1 species